GACGAACGCUGGCGGCAUGCCUAAUACAUGCAAGUCGAGCGAACAGAUGAAGUGCUUGCACUUCUGACGUUAGCGGCGAACGGGUGAGUAACACGUAAGGAAUCUACCUAUAAGCGGGGGAUAACAUUCGGAAACGGGUGCUAAUACCGCAUAAUAUCUUCUUCCGCAUGGAAGCAGAUUGAAAGACGCAUCUGCUGUCACUUAUAGAUGAUCUUGCUGUGCAUUAGUUAGUUGGUGGGGUAAUGGCCUACCAAGACGAUGAUGCAUAGCCGACCUGAGAGGGUGAGCGGCCACAUUGGGACUGAGACACGGCCCAAACUCCUACGGGAGGCAGCAGUAGGGAAUCUUCCGCAAUGGGCGAAAGCCUGACGGAGCAAUGCCGCGUGAGUGAAGAAGGCCUUCGGGUCGUAAAACUCUGUUAUAAGAGAAGAACAAAUUGUAGAGUAACUGCUACAGUCUUGACGGUAUCUUAUCAGAAAGCCACGGCUAACUACGUGCCAGCAGCCGCCGUAA
rnacentral:rRNA from 1 species